rnacentral:lncRNA from 1 species
GCUCAGAGAAGAAUGGAAGCAGAGACUGGAGAAAAGGCUGAGGAUGUUGGACAAUCCUGAUGGGAAGGAGAAGCAGGCAAGCACUGUGGGCUGAGUGCUUCCUGCCUCAUCCCCUUCAAAGAUGACAAACCACCAAGGGCACUUUUCUAGGAGAAAAAACUAACACCCAAGUUAUGUUGACUUACUAAGCAGGACGCUCUUUAUUUGCUCUCCCAUUUGUGAAGGGAUUUACAUGUGAAACCUCCCCUAGUGCUAAUGGGACUCUUUAUCCAUCUCAAUCCUCUCUGUCACAGAGGACAGGAUGACCGCCAAUGGGAUACGAAGCUUGGGGUAUCUAAUAUAAAAAUCUCUUGGAAUUAGCACUUCCAAGUUUCAAAGAUCCACGUAAUGUAAUUUAUUUCCACAUUUUCUUCUCAUUUUGAAAUCUGAAUAUUUUAUUCAGGCUUACCAGGGGCAAUUACUGUUUGGAAACCUGGCUUCCCUAAGUAUUCUGGAAAAACAGAGUCAUUUGAUCUUAUUUCCUGUCCCCAUCGCCUUUUUUAAAAUGAAGACAGAAAUGCUACUGCUAACAGAAAGAAAGCUAAAGAAAGAAAGAAAUCAUUCUUAUAAAAAGAAUAAUUUUUAACAUUAUGGUUUGAAAAUGAACUGAACUAAAUUAUUU